UACGUAGGGUGCAAGCGUUGUCCGGAAUUAUUGGGCGUAAAGAGCUCGUAGGCGGUUUGUCGCGUCUGCUGUGAAAACCCGAGGCUCAACCUCGGGCCUGCAGUGGGUACGGGCAGACUAGAGUGCGGUAGGGGAGAUUGGAAUUCCUGGUGUAGCGGUGGAAUGCGCAGAUAUCAGGAGGAACACCAAUGGCGAAGGCAGAUCUCUGGGCCACUACUGACGCUGAGAAGCGAAAGCAUGGGGAGCGAACAGG
rnacentral:rRNA from 1 species